rnacentral:lncRNA from 1 species
AGUAUUUUUUAUUAUACGUAACAAUUUAUGAAUUCUCAUAUGACUAAUAUAUUUUAUUUUUCUAAAUUCUUGGACUUUGUUUUUGUUUUUGUGGGUGAGAGCAUGUCCUUUUUCUUCAAACUUAAACUUAUCCUCCACGUACUGAAAAGAUUCGCAUUUGUCCUUUGCCCUUUGUCCACUCCAUCAAUCCCAAUCCCCCA